rnacentral:lncRNA from 1 species
CAGGCACUGUAAUCACUCACCUGAUUUUUGGUUCUAUGAAGAUGCUUUUUUAUGCAGAUAGUUUUUCGAUUUGGUGUUCUUCCUGUGGGGAAUGACUGCCAGAGAGUUCCAUUUGGCUAUCUUGCUUCACUUCCUUUAGAAAACAAGAAGAAAAAGAAAAAAACCUUGAGGCAUUUCAGCAAAUCAUCUAAAUUUGCUGAAUCUAAUGGUGGUUGGAGUGAAGCACCUGUGACUGAAGAUGAGUCACUUAGAUUGUUGAAGAGUAAUUAUUUAUUUGGUCCUUGUGUGAAAGAGGACA